rnacentral:rRNA from 1 species
GACGAACGCUGGCGGCGUGCUUAACACAUGCAAGUCGAACGGAAAGGCCCUGCUUUUGUGGGGUGCUCGAGUGGCGAACGGGUGAGUAACACGUGAGUAACCUGCCCUUGACUUUGGGAUAACUUCAGGAAACUGGGGCUAAUACCGGAUAGGAGCUCCUGCUGCAUGGUGGGGGUUGGAAAGUUUCGGCGGUUGGGGAUGGACUCGCGGCUUAUCAGCUUGUUGGUGGGGUAGUGGCUUACCAAGGCUUUGACGGGUAGCCGGCCUGAGAGGGUGACCGGCCACAAUGGGACUGAGAGACGGAGCAGAAGCGUACGGGAGGCAGCAGGGGGGAAUAUUGCACAGUGGGCGGAAGUCAGAUGCAGAAAUGCCGCGUGCGGGAUGAUGGCCUACGGGUUGUAAACAGCUGUCGCAGGUGACGAAGAGUGAGUGACGGUAAUGGGUAAAGAAGCACCGGCUAACUACGUG